UACGGGGGGUGCGAGCGUUGUCCGGAAUCACUGGGCGUAAAGGGCGCGUAGGUGGCCUUGUAAGUCUGUGGUGAAAGCCCGGAGCUCAACUCCGGGUCUGCCGCGGAUACUGCGAGGCUUGAGUGCUGUAGAGGGGGGUAGAAUGCCGGGUGUAGCGGUGGAAUGCGUAGAGAUCCGGCAGAAGACCGGUGGCGAAGGCGGCCCCCUGGGCAGUAACUGACGCUGAGGCACGAAAGCUAGGGGAGCAAACAGG
rnacentral:rRNA from 1 species